GAGGGUAUAGCUCAAGUGGUAGAGCACGUGCUUAGCAUGCAUGAGGUCCUGGGUUCAAUCCCCAGUGCCUCCA
rnacentral:tRNA from 1 species